UACAGAGGUCCCGAGCGUUGUUCGGAUUCACUGGGCGUAAAGGGUGCGCAGGUGGGUUGGCAAGUUUGAUGUGAAAGCCCCGGGCUUAACCCGGGAAUGGCAUUGAAUACUGCUGAUCUGGAGGAUCGGAGGGGGGACUGGAAUUCUUGGUGUAGCAGUGAAAUGCGUAGAUAUCAAGAGGAACACCAGUGGCGAAGGCGAGUCCCUGGACGAUACCUGACACUGAGGCACGAAGGCCAGGGGAGCAAACGGG
rnacentral:rRNA from 1 species